rnacentral:rRNA from 1 species
UACGUAGGGUGCAAGCGCUGAUCGGAAUUACUGGGCGUAAAGCGUACGCAGGCGGUUAUAUAAGACAGAUGUGAAAUCCCCGGGCUCAACCUGGGAACUGCAUUUGUGACUGUAUAGCUAGAGUACGGCAGAGGGGGAUGGAAUUCCGCGUGUAGCAGUGAAAUGCGUAGAUAUGCGGAGGAACACCGAUGGCGAAGGCAAUCCCCUGGGCCUGUACUGACGCUCAUGCACGAAAGCGUGGGGAGCAAACAGG